rnacentral:rRNA from 1 species
UUCUUUAUCACCGAGUGCUUGCACUCACCGAUGAAGAGUUGAGUGGCGAACGGGUGAGUAACACGUGGGCAACCUGCCCAAAAGAGGGGGAUAACACUUGGAAACAGGUGCUAAUACCGCAUAACCAUAGUUACCGCAUGGUAACUAUGUAAAAGGUGGCUAUGCUACCGCUUUUGGAUGGGCCCGCGGCGCAUUAGCUAGUUGGUGGGGUAAAGGCUUACCAAGGCAAUGAUGCGUAGCCGAACUGAGAGGUUGAUCGGCCACAUUGGGACUGAGACACGGCCCAAACUCCUACGGGAGGCAGCAGUAGGGAAUCUUCCACAAUGGGCGAAAGCCUGAUGGAGCAACGCCGCGUGGGUGAAGAAGGUCUUCGGAUCGUAAAACCCUGUUGUUAGAGAAGAAAGUGCGUGAGAGUAACUGUUCACGUUUCGACGGUAUCUAACCAGAAAGCCACGGCUAACUACGUGCCAGCAGCCGCGGUAAUACGUAGGUGGCAAGCGUUAUCCGGAUUUAUUGGGCGUAAAGGGAACGCAGGCGGUCUUUUAAGUCUGAUGUGAAAGCCUUCGGCUUAACCGGAGUAGUGCAUUGGAAACUGGGAGACUUGAGUGCAGAAGAGGAGAGUGGAACUCCAUGUGUAGCGGUGAAAUGCGUAGAUAUAUGGAAGAACACCAGUGGUGAAAGCGGCUCUCUGGUCUGUAACUGACGCUGAGGUUCGAAAGCGUGGGUAGCAAACAGGAUUAGAUACCCUGGUAGUCCACGCCGUAAACGAUGAAUGCUAAGUGUUGGAGGGUUUCCGCCCUUCAGUG